UAAGAUCAUUUGGCACAUAAAAAUGCAUCUACGUAAUUAACGAAACAAAAAAAAAGGGACAACUGGAAAGUAGAUGGUGCAAAAUAGAGGAUCCUGGAAUAUGAUAGUGUAUGGUUUACUUUAGAACGUGUGGAAGUUUGGAGGCCUAAGAUAAAGUAAAAGUUUCUUCUGAGUUAUGAUCAAUGGUAUAACUCAUAGGAGUAGGGUUUUUUUGGGGGGUAAAGAAAAUGGGGGCUUGAAGGUUAUUACAAAAUUCUUUAACAAAUGAACAGUAGGCUCCGCAUUUAAGAGGUCACAAACAUUAGCAGGUAAAUUUCAAAAAGAUGAAUUGAGGGCUGUGUAACUUCUCAUUGAGUUUUUCCAACAGCUAUGGUGUUGGCUAUAUAAGAAAGCAAUCUUUUGAAUAUUGCAGUGCAUAUCGUAGGUGGAAAGAACAAUGUUAUCAACCCUCAUGUGAGAUCGAGUACAACGUUCAAAAGCUGAUGAGGGCCAACAAAUCUCUCUCCAUGCACAUUAGUAGCACUAUAGGUUGCGAUCAUGCCUCAACUGCAGGUGGCAAGACAGUUGAGGUGGCUAACCCACCAGCUACGAUGAAUUACUAAUGUCAGGACCCGCAAGAUGUUAUCGCCAGAUUAAGAAUAAACCAUAUCCAAAAUCACGGUACUGCCGUGGUGUUCCAGAUCCUAAAAUUAGGAUCUAUGAUGUUGGAAUGAAGAAGAAAGGAGUUGAUGAGUUUCCCUUCUGUGUUCACCUGGUGAGCUGGGAAAAGGAGAAUGUUUCCAGUGAAGCUCUUGAGGCUGCUCGUAUUGCAUGCAACAAGUAUAUGACAAAGUAUGCUGGAAAGGAUGCUUUCCACUUACGAGUGAGAGUUCACCCAUUCCAUGUUGUACGUAUCAACAAAAUGCUUUCUUGUGCUGGGGCAGAUAGGCUCCAGACUGGGAUGAGGGGUGCAUUUGGGAAGCCUCAGGGGAUGUGUUCGGGUAAGCAUUGGUCAGGUCCUUCUGUCUGUUCGCUGCAAGGAUAGCAAUAUCAAUCAUGCACAAGAAGCCCUUUGUCAUGCGAAGUUCAAGUUUCCUGGCCGUCAGAAGAUAAUCAUCAGCGGAAAGUGGGGCUUUACUAAGUUUAGCCGUGCUGAAUAUGCGAAAUGGAAGAGUGAGAACAGAAUCAUUCCAGAUGGUGUCAAUGCCAAGUUACUUGGGUGCCAUGCCCACUUGCUAAUCGUCAACCUGGAAAGGCUUUCUUGAGCGCCGCUGUGGCAGAAGCUUCAUAGAAUCUGUCAGCUGGAGGAUGAUGAAAGCUCUGGUGGUUUUGAGAUUUUCUUGCUAUCAGCUUAGUUUUGCAGGUUUAUUAUGUCCAUUUUUUUCUAUCAGAUUUUCUUUAAAUUUAUUUUGUGUCUUGUGGUGGCAACCUUUAUUUCUUCGAUUGAUGUGUUUAUGUAGGCGAUUGGUGUAUUGGUUUUUCUUUUCCUCGCUCCGGACAUAUCCAGUUAGGUGGAUAUAUUUUGUCAUGAAGUCGAGCAUUCAGUCACAUAUUAUGGUUUGAUCCUGCACGUCGACAGAAUACGUAGCUGGGUAUGGAUUCCCUUCGGUAGCUCGCUGGUCAUCGGUUUGCCUAAGUUCGAGCUGGAGGCCAUCGUGUGGUUGGUUGCUUGCCGGGCUUAGUAAACAAACAUGGCGGUCUAAUUGUAGGGUAUGGAGAACAAAACCUGGGAAAUAACAAUUUGGUUGGCGCCGAGCACGUUAGGGGGAAAAUAAAA